CUUGUUGGUGGGGUAACGGCUCACCAAGGCGACGAUCCCUAGCUGGUCUGAGAGGAUGACCAGCCACACUGGAACUGAGACACGGUCCAGACUCCUACGGGAGGCAGCAGUGGGGAAUAUUGCACAAUGGGCGCAAGCCUGAUGCAGCCAUGCCGCGUGUAUGAAGAAGGCCUUCGGGUUGUAAAGUACUUUCAGCGGGGAGGAAGGGAGUAAAGUUAAUACCUUUGCUCAUUGACGUUAUCCGCAGAAGAAGCACCGGCUAACUCCGUGCCAGCAGCCGCGGUAAUACGGAGGGUGCAAGCGUUAAUCGGAAUUACUGGGCGUAAAGCGCACGCAGGCGGUUUGUUAAGUCAGAUGUGAAAUCCCCGGGCUCAACCUGGGAACUGCAUCUGAUACUGGCAAGCUUGAGUCUCGUAGAGGGGGGUAGAAUUCCAGGUGUAGCGGUGAAAUGCGUAGAGAUCUGGAGGAAUACCGGUGGCGAAGGCGGCCCCCUGGACGAAGACUGACGCUCAGGUGCGAAAGCGUGGGGAGCAAACAGGAUUAGAUACCCUGGUAGUCCACGCCGUAAACGAUGUCGACUUGGAGGUUGUGCCCUUGAGGCGUGGCUUCCGGAGCUAACGCGUUAAGUCGACCGCCUGGGGAGUACGGCCGCAAGGUUAAAACUCAAAUGAAUUGACGGGGGCCCGCACAAGCGGUGGAGCAUGUGGUUUAAUUCGAUGCAACGCGAAGAACCUUACCUGGUCUUGACAUCCACGGAAGUUUUCAGAGAUGAGAAUGUGCCUUCGGGAACCGUGAGACAGGUGCUGCAUGGCUGUCGUCAGCUCGUGUUGUGAAAUGUUGGGUUAAGUCCCGCAACGAGCGCAACCCUUAUCCUUUGUUGCCAGCGGUCCGGCCGGGAACUCAAAGGAGACUGCCAGUGAUAAACUGGAGGAAGGUGGGGACGACGUCAAGUCAUCAUGGCCCUUACGACCAGGGCUACACACGUGCUACAAUGGCGCAUACAAAGAGAAGCGACCUCGCGAGAGCAAGCGGACCUCAUAAAGUGCGUCGUAGUCCGGAUUGGAGUCUGCAACUCGACUCCAUGAAGUCGGAAUCGCUAGUAAUCGUGGAUCAGAAUGCCACGGUGAAUACGUUCCCGGGCCUUGUACACACCGCCCGUCACACCAUGGGAGUGGGUUGCAAAAGAAGUAGGUAGCUUAACCUUCGGGAGGGCGCUUACCACUUUGUGAUUCAUGACUGGGGUGAAGUCGUAACAAGGUAACCGUAGGGGAACCUGCGGUUGGAUCACCUCCUUACCUUAAAGAAGC
rnacentral:rRNA from 2 species